UUUCAUUAAGUUACGUGGAAAUAGUUUGAAUCUUUCAAAGCUUUUUUUCAAACUUUAUUAGGUGGGAAUUAGAAAAAUCUUUAGCCAAUGGCUAAUUUGGUUCCAAUAAAUUCCUGAAUUUUCUAUACAAUUCCCUAUGAAUUAUGAGGUUUUCUACUCUGGCUGGUGAGAACGUGAUGCAUUUCUGGACCUCGGUGAGUGCUGGGGAUUGUUGCCUCUGCCCCUUUCAGAUGAAAUUCUGUCUGCAGUCGCAGGUACUCUCCUUAUACUUAUGAGAUUAUCAGUACCCAGCAGACCUCUGGAACUCUCUUAACAGCUCUCUCUUCUUUUGUACU
rnacentral:lncRNA from 10 species